UUUCGAAAACAAGCUCAAUGAGAGCCUUCGGGGGUAGAUCUUUCUCAUGACGAGUGGUGAAUACUUUGACUCAUGAGAGAGAAGCUGAGGCGAAGGCGUCUACCUAGAGGGUUUCUGUCGAUCAAGGGCGAGAGUAGGAGUAUCCAACAGGAUUAGAGACCCUGGUAGUUCCUACCUUAAACGAUGCCGACAGGAGUUUGUCAUUUGUUAAUGGCAGAAUCUUUGGAGAAAUCAUAGUUCUUGGGCUCUGGGGGAACUACGACCGCAAGGCUGAAACUUGAAGGAAUGACGGAAGGGCACACCAGGGGUGGAGCCUGUGGCUUAAUUUGAAUCAACACGGGGAAACUUACCAGGACCAGAUGUUUUUUAUGACUGACAGGCUUCGGGUCUUUCAGGAUAUUGUUUUUGGUGGUGCAUGGCCGUUGGUGGUGCGUGGGUUGACCUGUCUAGCGUUGAUUCAGCUAACGAGCGAGAUUAUCGCCAAUUAUUUACUUUGCCGAAGUCCUUCGGUUAAAGUUCUAAUUGGGACUCCCUGCGAUUUUAGCAGGUGGAAGAGGGUAGCAAUAACAGGUCCGUGAUGCCCUUUAGAUGCUCUGGGCUGCACGCGUGCUACAAUGUUAGGAUCAAUAGGACUGCGAGCCUGAGAGGGUGCGCUACUCUUAUAAUCCCUAACGUAGUUGGGAUUGACGUUUGUAAUCAGCGUCAUGAACCAGGAAUCCCUUGUAAAUGUGUGUCAACAACGCACGUUGAAUACGUCCCUGCCCUUUGUACACACCGCCCGUCGCUCCUACCGAUUGGAUGACUCGGUGAAAUCACCGGAUGCUUACGAGCAGAAAGUGAUUAAAUCACGUUAUCUAGAGGAAGGAGAAGUCGUAACAAGGUAACGGUAGGUGAACCUGCCGUUGGAUCAGUU
rfam:Trichomonas vaginalis G3, whole genome shotgun sequence.